rnacentral:rRNA from 1 species
GCUAAAUACUAACUAGUGACCGAUAGCGAACAAGUACCGUGAGGGAAAGGUGAAAAGAACCCCGGAAGGGGAGUGAAAUAGUUCUUGAAACCGUGUGCUUACAAGAAGUUCGAGGCCGUUAAUGGCUGAGAGCGUGCUUUUUGUAGAAUGAACCGGAGAGUUACGAUUGCGUGCAAGGUUAAGGUGCAAAGACUGGAGCCGUAGCGAAAGCGAGUCUUAAUAGGGCGAAUCAGUACGUAGUUGUAGACCCGAAACCGAGUGACCUAUCCAUGGUCAGGUUGAAGGUGGGGUAAUACCUACUGGAGGACCGAACAAGUGGGUGUUAAAAAACCCUUUGAUGAACUGUGGAUAGCGGUGAAAUUCCAAUCGAACUCGGAGAUAGCUGGUUCUAUCCGAAAUACAUUUAGGUGUAGCCUUGCAAUUAGCUUACUGGAGGUAGAGCACUAUUUGGUCUAGGGGCCCUUCAAGGG